CAUGAACUCAUCCAGCUCCGGAUCAGCUCCGAUCUCGCCACCGCCCAUGCUGGAGUACCUCUCCCUCCCGAUCUCUUCCAAAAGCGUCGCCACCUCCGGCGGCGCCCCCACCUUCGCGUGAAGGACCGACACAUCACAUGCGGAUAGAAGAGAUGGGUAGCGAGGAUGGUUCGCGAUCUGAGCUUUGAUCAGAUCCGUCAGAUCCGACCCACCGCCGCCGCUGCUUCCUGUCACCUCCGACGCCUCGCUUGUCCCCUGGCAGCUGGACGCCAACCCUACUGCCGGCGUCUCCCCUCCCCCCAGUAUUCCCGGAUGUAUGCUGAACAGAUCUUCCAUCCCACCUCUGAGAUGUUGCUUCUAAUAGUAGACGAAUCAGCACGAUUAGGACAAGAAGAACAAGGUAAGUGCACGGAGGAACAGAUGGCGCACAGACUUACCAAAAGGAAAGAUAAGGAUAAAGCCGGAGAUGGAGGAGUCAGGAAGAAUCAGGAAGCCCAGAGGUGCUAAAUAUAGCAGAAGGUUGCUAAAGCUGGGAAGAGAGGAGAUGAGAUAAUGAGCGAGCUCUCCACUUCUGGCGACGGCGAAGCGCAGCUUCCAUAUGCCACUACUACCGCCGCUGGGGAGCAGGAAGAACAAAGCAGGAACAGCAGCAGCACAGAAGAGCAAGUCAUCUCCCACCUUUUCCUGUCUCCUUUGGCUUCAAAUAAAUAAAAAUCAAUGGUCUUUCUAACCAAAACAA